UCUUUAUCCAUAGAUGGUAGAUCUUGGCAGGUAGUGAUUCUUUUUCUUUCUUUUUUUGUUUUUUUCCUAACUCUCAAGAUACUUGGUACCAUAUAGUAGAUCUUAGGCUAAAAUGUAAUAAGUACAAAUCAUGUCUCUUACUUUGGAGUCAGAGCUCUCUAUAUCUUUGAAGGAAAAAUAAAGUAAUGUGUAUUUAAUGUCAAGAUAAAACAUCUUAUUAGCACUACUAUAAAGUUCAUUCUUCACCCAUCCAUUUGGUCAGUAAAUAAAUAUUGGGUUUCUAUUAUGUGUCAGGCUCUAUGCAGGUGUGGUGAUACAAAGAUAAUCAAGACAUUGUUAUUGUUCUUAAGAACAUCUUUGACAAAUGGGAAAGUUAAGCGUGUGUAAAUACAGUGCAAUACAGUGCACCAAAAAUAGGGUACACAAGUUUUCUUGGCAUCACAUAUUACAGUUUACAUAUUUUGGUGAAAGGUUUCAGAUUGUUCUCAACUAAUAGGUUCAUCUAGGAAUUUCCCUAUGCAACCUCCAGUCUAAGAAAGAUGAUUUAUGAUCUUUUAAAUCCAUUAUUUCAGGACUUAGUGAAAGCCAGGCAGAUGUGGAGGUUUGGGUAUUAGGUCUGUGGUAUUGGGUGCAUGUUACACAGUGGAUGUUCUUAUUCCUGCUCAUGCCUGUGGUGAUCAGUUACCAGCCUUAUGUUGACACUGGCUGGAGUUCUGUGUCUGUGGCCCUUAGGCAACCCUGACUUGGUUAGCCUUAUUUUCAGGGUUUCAGAUGAUCACAAACAUAAUUAUCUGCCAUUGCAGAGGCUGUUACCAUAUCUAGAAAUGCCUGCAUUCCUCCACCAUGAAGUCUGUAGCUCUCAUGUUCUUGCCACCAUGUACUUAGGGUGAUCAUUUCCCCCUGCACCUGCCAUCCUUGUUCUGCCUACAGCUAGUUUUCACUCUGAGCAAGAACUUGUCAUUGAGAGACCUCUAGAAGUGGCUGAGACUUUAGAGAUGUGCCGACCUAUUGGUGGGGUUAACCUUUUGUGUUUCAGAGAAAAGCAGCAUCAACCAAAAUGGGGAGUCCUCUGAGCCAUUAUGGUGGGGCUUUUCAAAAUUGAGCCACCUAAUUGCAUGGAGGCAGAAACCAUGUUUGCUGGCUCGUUCAUCUAAGAGGUUAAAUUUUGACAAAAUGUUUUCACUUUACGUGCUCAGUAAUAAGAAUGAUCAGGUUGGAUCUGAUUUUUAAAUUGUGUGAAGAAGACCCCUUAAGAAAACUCUGACCAUACCUCAAGCCUAGUAGGUCAUCUGUUCUCCAUUUUUAAUAAAAUCCAUUACCAAAUAGAGGUGAACAAGGGAUGGCAUCUUCAAUAAAUGGUCUGAUGCUGUGCAAACACUUACGUUCCAGAGAAAAGUAAAGAAAAUGACCAUUUAUUUUGUUCAGUAGAGAUAUGCUUUAACUCAUCUGACUUUAUUUCUUCUCACCAUUAGAAAUUAUAAGCCUGGAAUGUUUGGGAGAAUCAGGGAUAAGUCGGAAAUGUUUGGGAGAAUCAGGGAUUGUGCAUUGAAAUUGAGCUGAUUCGAUUCACAUCCUUCAAUGCUGACUAAAAAAAUACACACUUUGAGGUAUAUGAAGACUGAUGAUUGUUUUGGGGAAAAUAAAAAAAAA
rnacentral:lncRNA from 1 species